UACGGAGGGGGCGAGCGUUAUUCGGAAUCAUUGGGCGUAAAGGGCGCGUAGGCGGCCCCGUAAGUCUUGGGUGAAAGCCCUCGGCUCAACCGAGGAAUUGCCUUGGAUACUGCGGGGCUCGAGGCUGGAAGAGGGCAGUGGAAUUCCCGGUGUAGCGGUGAAAUGCGUAGAUAUCAAGAGGAACACCUGCGGCGAAGGCGGGUUGCUGGGCCGACACUGACGCUGAAGCGCGAAAGCCAGGGAGCGAACGGG
rnacentral:rRNA from 1 species